GACGAACGCUGGCGGCGUGCCUAAUACAUGCAAGUAGAACGCUGAAGAGAGGAGCUUGCUCUUCUUGGAUGAGUUGCGAACGGGUGAGUAACGCGUAGGUAACCUGCCUUGUAGCGGGGGAUAACUAUUGGAAACGAUAGCUAAUACCGCAUAACAAUGGAUGACACAUGUCAUUUAUUUGAAAGGGGCAAUUGCUCCACUACAAGAUGGACCUGCGUUGUAUUAGCUAGUAGGUGAGGUAAUGGCUCACCUAGGCGACGAUACAUAGCCGACCUGAGAGGGUGAUCGGCCAAACUGGGACUGAGACACGGCCCAGACUCCUACGGGAAGCAGCAGUAGGGAAUCUUCGGCAAUGGGGGCAACCCUGACCGGGCAACGCCGCGUGAGUGAAGAAGGGUUUCGGAUCGUAAAGCUCUGUUGUAAGUCAAGAACGGGUGUGGGAGUGGAAAGUUCACACUGUGACGGUAGCUUACCAGAAAGGGACGGCUAACUACGUG
rnacentral:rRNA from 1 species